rnacentral:ribozyme from 1 species
UGCCAUUUUUUUGUUUUUUUACUUUUUGUUUUUCUAUCUUCUCUAGUGUGGAAGUAC